CACGUAGGGCGCAAGCGUUGUCCGGAAUUAUUGGGCGUAAAGAGCUCGUAGGCGGUCUGUUACGUCCGCUGUGAAAACCCGGGGCUUAACCCCUGGCUUGCAGUGGAUACGGACAGACUAGAGGUAGGUAGGGGAGAAUGGAAUUCCCGGUGUAGCGGUGAAAUGCUUAGAUAUGACAUAGAACACCAAUUGCGAAGGCAGCUGGCUACACGAAUUAUUGACACUGAUGCACGAAAGCGUGGGGAUCAAACAGG
rnacentral:rRNA from 1 species